rnacentral:rRNA from 1 species
AUGAAGAUUACGGCUGACCCAAGAGAGUUUCUUCUGAUCAGUCCCCGCGAGCUCCAGUUUUGUUUGGAGUUAAAUAAACGGAGUCGUUGCCUUGUACAUCUAACUAACAAUACAAAGGAGCAUGUCGCGUUUUCUUUCCAGGUUAUGAGCGUGAUUAGGAAGUACAGCAUUGAACCGGCUAGUGCCUUCCUCUGUCCAUGGUCCAAAUUUACUGUGGUUGUUACAGUGGAAGAACUGCAUGAGUUAUCAUCGCACAUGCAAUGCCAUGAUGAAUUCCUUGUAAAGACCAUCGUAGUGAUGGGAAAUAGACUCGAAUCCAAGCACAUUAACGAUGAUGGUUAUAACAUAUCAAGCAAUGUGGUGAAGUUGACGGUUGCUUAUGUGCCACCAGCCAAACGAUCAUCCCCAUUACAUGUAGGGUCUGAGGAGACAAAGGCAUCAGAUCUGCGAGGAUUAGAAAGCUUUUUGGUAAGUUCCUUCCAGCAUAAAUCAGGGUGCUCAAUGGAAGUGCAGGUCAACUGCUACUUCGGGUAG